rnacentral:lncRNA from 1 species
GUGGCAGCAGGGUGACAAUUGGGAACUGUGGGGUGGCAUGGGGUAAGGUGACACCAGGGUGACACCAGGGUGACAGCGGGUGACAACAAGACAGGAUAAGUUGACACUGGGGUGACAGUGGGAUGGGGCAGGGUGACACAGGGUGACAGUGGGGUGACAAGAAGGGAUGGGGUGGCGGCAGGGUGACAAUUGGGAACUGUGGGGUGACACGGGGUAAGGUGACACCAGGGUGACACUGGGUGACAGCAAGACAGGACAGGGUGACACCGGGGUGACAGUGGGAUGGGGCAGGGUGACACUGGGGUGACAGCAGGGUGACAAGAAGGGAUGGGGUGACGGCAGGGUGACAAUUGGGAACCGUGGGGUGACACUGGGUGAUAGCGGACGGGACAGGGUGACACCGGGGUGACAUCAGGGUGACGCCGGGGUGACAGCGAGGGUGGGACGGGGUUGUCCCUGGGCCAGGACGGGGUGACACCGGGACGGGACCGGGUGGGGGAGGGGACGGGGACGCGGUGUCACCCUGAUCCCGGUGACCCCCAGGAGCGGGCGGUUCCUGGUGAGCGGGGACAGCGGUGGCUUUGUCACCGUUUGGGACACGCUGCGGCCACCGGAGCCCGGGGACCCCCCCCUGCUGCCCCACACCCUGCGCUUCCACGCCCUGAGGGACUGCGUCAACGGCACCAGGUGCGGCUGUCACCUCUGUGUCACUGUCACCCCUGUGUCACUGUCACCCGCGUCAUGUCACCCAUGUCAUGUCACCUGCAUCACUGUCACCUCUGUGUCACUGUCACCUGCAUCAUGUCACCUCUGUGUCACUGUCACCUCUGUGUCACUGUCACCUCUGCGUCACUGUCACCUCUGCGUCACUGUCACCUGCAUCAUGUCACCUCUGUGUCGCUGUCACCUCUGUGUCACUGUCACCUCUGUGUCACUGUCACCUCUGUGUCACUGUCACCUGCGUCACUGUCACCUCUGUGUCACUGUCACCUCUGUGUCACUGUCACCCGCGUCACUGUCACCCGCGUCACUGUCACCCGCGUCACUGUCACCUCUGUGUCACUGUCACCUCUGUGUCACUGUCACCUCUGUGUCACUGUCACCUGCAUCAUGUCACCUCUGUGUCACUGUCAUUCACGUCAUGUCACCUCUGUGUCACUGUCACCCGCAUCAUGUCACCUGCAUCAUGACACCUCUGUGUCACUGUCACCCGCGUCACUGUCACCUCUGUGUCAUGUCACCUCUGUGUCACUGUCACCUCUGUGUCACUGUCACCUGCAUCACGUCACCUCUGUGUCACUGUCACCUCUGUCACUGUCACCCGUGUCGUGUCACCUGCGUUGUGUCACCUCUGUGUCACUGUCAUUCACAUUAUGUCACCUCUGUGUCGCUGUCAUCUCUGUGUCACUGUCACCC